GCCCGCCUAGCUCAAUCGGCAGAGCACUUCACUUGUAAUGAAGAGGUUUCCGGUUCGAUUCCGGAGGCGGGCU
rnacentral:tRNA from 1 species